GCCGGGCGUGGUGGUGCAUGCCUUUAAUCCCAGCACUCGGGAGGCAGAGGCAGGCAGAUUUCUGAGUUCGAGGCCAGCCUGGUCUACAAAGUGAGUUCCAGGACAGCCAGGGCUAUACAGAGAAACCCUGUCUUGAAAAAACAAAAACAAAAAAAACUUCUUGACCCUAUUUAUUUAUUUUAAUAGUUUUUGUUUUUUUGACACAGGGUUUCUCUGUGUAGCCCUGACUGUCCUGGAACUCAGUCUGUAGACCAGGCUGGCCUCGAACUCAGAGAUCCACCUGUCU
rnacentral:lncRNA from 1 species